rnacentral:rRNA from 1 species
UACGAAGGGGGCUAGCGUUGCUCGGAAUCACUGGGCGUAAAGGGCGCGUAGGCGGCGUUUUAAGUCGGGGGUGAAAGCCUGUGGCUCAACCACAGAAUGGCCUUCGAUACUGGGACGCUUGAGUAUGGUAGAGGUUGGUGGAACUGCGAGUGUAGAGGUGAAAUUCGUAGAUAUUCGCAAGAACACCAGUGGCGAAGGCGAGUCUCUGGACAUUUCCUGACGCUGAGGCACGAAAGCCAGGGGAGCAAACGGG